rnacentral:rRNA from 1 species
CAAUAGCGUAUAUUAAAGUUGUUGCAGUUAAAAAGCUCGUAGUUGGAUUUGUGGCAUACGGUGGGUUCCGGGCACUUGUUGUCUGAGUAACUUGCUGUUGCCAUCCUUGGGUGGAACCUGUGUGGCAUUAGGUUGUCGUGCAGGGGAUGCCCAUCAUUUACUGUGAAAAAAUUAGAGUGUUCAAAGCAGGCUUAUGCCGUUGAAUAUAUUAGCAUGGAAUAAUGAGAUAGGACUUUUUUGCUAUUUUGUUGGUUUGCGCAAAGAGGUAAUGAUUAAUAGGGACAGUUGGGGGUAUUCGUAUUCCAUUGUCAGAGGUGAAAUUCUUGGAUUUUUGGAAGACGAACUACUGCGAAAGCAUUUACCAAGGAUGUUUUCAUUAA